rnacentral:rRNA from 1 species
GAUGAACGCUGGCGGCGUGCCUAAUACAUGCAAGUCGAGCGAACGGACGAUAAGCUUUCUUCUCUGAUGUUAGCGGCUGACGGGUGAGUAACACGUGGAUAACCUACCUAUAAGACUGGGAUAACUUCGUGAAACCGCAUCUAAUACCGCAUAAUAUUUUGAACGGCAUGGUUCAAAAGUGAAAGACGGUCUUGCUGUCACUUAUAGAUGGAUCCGCGCUGCAUUAUCUAGUUGGUAAGGUAACGGCUUACCAAGGCAACGAUGCAUAUCCGACCUGAGAGGGUGAUCGGCCACACUGGAACUGAGACACGGUCCAGACUCCUACGGGAGGCAGCAGUAGGGAAUCUUCCGCAAUGGGCGAAAGCCUGACGGAGCAACGCCGCGUGAGUGAUGAAGGUCUUCGGAUCGUAAAACUCUGUUAUUAGGGAAGAACAUAUGUGUAAGUAACUGUGCACAUCUUGACGGUACCUAAUCAGAAAGCCACGGCUAACUACGUG